rfam:Gossypium raimondii chromosome 2, whole genome shotgun sequence.
GAGCAAUGAUGUGGACAUUUUUGAAUUAGCAUCUUAAAACGUUCCUAAGCUUCGUGAAAACUUUCUCCCUCUAAUUAUUUGAACAUAGCAAUCUCUCUUCUUAGUUG